CCUACGGGAGGCAGCAGUGGGGAAUAUUGCGCAAUGGGCGAAAGCCUGACGCAGCGACGCCGCGUGAGGGAUGAAGGUCUUCGGAUCGUAAACCUCUGUCAGCAGGGAAGAACGGUCACUGUGCUAAUCAGCAGUGAAUUGACGGUACCUGCAAAGGAAGCACCGGCUAACUCCGUGCCAGCAGCCGCGGUGAUACGGAGGGUGCGAGCGUUAAUCGGAAUUACUGGGCGUAAAGCGCUCGUAGGCGGUAUGUCAAGUCAAGGGUGAAAUCCCCGCGCACAACGUGGGAACUGCCUUUGAAACUGGCAAACUGGAGUGUGUGAGAGGAUAGUGGAAUUCCAGGUGUAGGAGUGAAAGCCGUAGAUAUCUGGAGGAACAUCAGUGGCGAAGGCGACUAUCUGGCACAUAACUGACGCUGAGGAGCGAAAGCGUGGGUAGCAAACAGGAUUAGAUACCCCAGUAGUC
rnacentral:rRNA from 1 species